rnacentral:misc_RNA from 1 species
AAACGCACAUUGCGCCCCUUGGUAUUCCGGGGGGCAUGCCUGUUCGAGCGUCAUUAUAACCCCUCAAGCUCAGCUUAGUGUUAGGGCCUGCCAACUAGCAGCCCUUAAAAUCAGUAGCGGCGCCAUCUCGCUCUAAGCGUAGUAAUUUCUCUCGCUAUAAGGUCCCGGUGGAUGCUUGCCAACAACCCCCAAUUUUCUAUAGUUAACUUUGGAUCAGGUAAAGAUACCCGCUAAACUUAAA